UACGGGGGGGAGCAAGCGUUGUUCGGAUUUACUGGGCGUAAAGCGCACGUAGGCGGCCUGACAAGUCGGGUGUGAAAGCCCCUGGGCUCAACCCAGGAAGUGCACUCGAAACUGCCCAGGCUUGAAUAUGGAAGAGGGUCGCGGAAUUCUCGGUGUAGCGGUGAAAUGCGUAGAUAUCGAGAGGAACACCUGCGGCGAAGGCGGGUUGCUGGGCUGAUACUGACGCUGAGGCGCGAAAGCCAGGGAGCGAACGGG
rnacentral:rRNA from 1 species